UAACUGCGAGUGAAGCGGGAAAAGCUCAAAUUUAAAAUCUGGCGGUCCUUGGCUGUCCGAGUUGUAAUUUAGAGAAGCGUCUUCCGCGCUGGACCGUGCACAAGUCUCCUGGAAUGGAGCGUCGUAGAGGGUGAGAAUCCCGUCUUUGGCAUGGAUGCCCGGUGCUUCUGUGAUGCGCUCUCAAAGAGUCGAGUUGUUUGGGAAUGCAGCUCAAAAUGGGUGGUGAACUCCAUCUAAAGCUAAAUAUUGGCGAGAGACCGAUAGCGAACAAGUACCGUGAGGGAAAGAUGAAAAGCACUUUGGAAAGAGAGUGAAACAGUACGUGAAAUUGUUGAAAGGGAAACGCUUGAAGUCAGUCGCGUCGUCCGAGACUCAGCCUUGCCUCGGCUUGGUGUACUUCUCGGCUCGACGGGUCAGCAUGAAUUUUGCACCUCGGAUAAUGGCAAGGGAAAGGUGGCACCUUUGCGGGUGUGUUAUAGUCUCGUGUCGCAUGCGAGGGGUGAGAUUGAGGAACUCAGCGUGCGCCUUUGGUGUCGGGGCUUCGGCCCACGUAACGCGCUUAGGAUGCUGGCGUAAUGGCUUUAAACGACCCGUCUUGAAACACGGACCAAGGAGUCCAACAUGCCCGCGAGUGUUCGGGUGGAAAACCCGUGCGCGUAAUAAAAGUGAAAGUUGGGACCUCUGUCGUGGAGGGCACCGACGCCCGGACCAGACCUUCUGUGACGGAUCUGCGGUAGAGCGUGUAUGUUGGGACCCGAAAGAUGGUGAACUAUGCCUGAAUAGGGUGAAGCCAGAGGAAACUCUGGUGGAGGCUCGUAGCGAUUCUGACGUGCAAAUCGAUCGUCAAAUUUGGGUAUA
rnacentral:rRNA from 1 species